GGACUACACGGGUUUCUAAUCCCGUUUGCUCCCCACGCUUUCGCGCCUCAGCGUCAGAACCGGUCCAGUGAGCCGCCUUCGCCACUGGUGUUCCUCCCAAUAUCUACGCAUUUCACCGCUACACUGGGAAUUCCACUCACCUCUCCCGGCCUCAAGCAAAGCAGUUUGGAGGGCAGUUCCUCGGUUAAGCCGAGGGAUUUCACCUUCCACUUGCCAAGCCGCCUACGCGCCCUUUACGCCCAAUAAUUCCGAAUAACGCUUGCCCCCUCUGUAUUACCGCGGCGGCUGGCAC
rnacentral:rRNA from 1 species